CCGCAUCGGGAUGGGCCCGCGGCGCAUUAGCUUGUUGGUGAGGUAACGGCUCACCAAGGCGACGAUGCGUAGCUGGUCUGAGAGGACGAUCAGCCACACUGGGACUGAGACACGGCCCAG
rnacentral:rRNA from 1 species